GUAGGAAAUCUGUUCAAUUUUCCGCAUAACGCGCAAAACUGAAAAGAUUUGUUACAG
rnacentral:pre_miRNA from 1 species